AGAGUUUGAUCAUGGCUCAGGACGAACGCUGGCGGCGUGCUUAACACAUGCAAGUCGAACGGUGAAAGAGGAGCUUGCUCCUCUGGAUCAGUGGCGAACGGGUGAGUAACACGUGAGUAACCUGCCCUUGACUCUGGGAUAACCUCGGGAAACCGAAGCUAAUACCGGAUACGACCCUCGGAGGCAUCUCCAGGGGGUGGAAAGAAUUUCGGUCAAGGAUGGACUCGCGGCCUAUCAGGUAGUUGGUGAGGUAACGGCUCACCAAGCCGACGACGGGUAGCCGGCCUGAGAGGGUGACCGGCCACACUGGGACUGAGACACGGCCCAGACUCCUACGGGAGGCAGCAGUGGGAAUAUUGCACAAUGGGCGCAAGCCUGAUGCAGCAACGCCGCGUGAGGGACGACGGCCUUCGGGUUGUAAACCUCUUUUAGUAGGGAAGAAGCGAAAGUGACGGUACCUGCAGAAAAAGCACCGGCUAACUACGUGCCAGCAGCCGCGGUAAUACGUAGGGUGCAAGCGUUGUCCGGAAUUAUUGGGCGUAAAGAGCUCGUAGGCGGUUUGUCGCGUCUGCUGUGAAAUCCCGAGGCUCAACCUCGGGCCUGCAGUGGGUACGGGCAAACUAGAGUGCGGUAGGGGAGAUUGGAAUUCCUGGUGUAGCGGUGGAAUGCGCAGAUAUCAGGAGGAACACCGAUGGCGAAGGCAGAUCUCUGGGCCGUAACUGACGCUGAGGAGCGAAAGCGUGGGGAGCGAACAGGAUUAGAUACCCUAGUAGUCC
rnacentral:rRNA from 1 species